UAUAUUUUAGUGUAUGAUGCACAGGAAAUUUUGAUUUUCCAAGUUUUGGUUUAAUUCCAUAAAAUAUAA
rnacentral:tRNA from 1 species